rnacentral:lncRNA from 1 species
CUCUCUAUGUAUGAAUUUCUUAAAAUAUAUCUUUAGCCGCCAUCCUGCACAUCCAUUGCCACCAAUAAAAACAUGUCAACAUACUACAUACAUACACAUCAUUACAUAUAUACAAUGAUACAUGAAUUAUACAUACUGGGGGAUUACAUAUGCUUUAUGACAUUUGGAACUAACACAAUCAUGAAUGCAUUUGAUCUUAACGUCGAGAGAAAACAUUUGGCACGAGGAAACACAACUAUCAUAACAAGCUUCAUAUGUUUCACUCAUCGCUGGUAAUGGUAUCAUCGUCAAUGCAAUGAUCAUAAUCAUCAACAUGCACAUACACUUCUUUUCCAUCUUUUGUUUUUUGGUCUUGUGUGUAUCUAUCUAUGCUUGUCUCUUUU